UGUGUCUUUAAAGCGGUUAGUUGCCCUCAAUUAAAAAAAAAAUUAUUAUUAUUCGCCAAUAGAUGUCGGGAAGAGUUGAUUAUUGAAAACACAAAUAAAACAACAUUUUCUGAAAAUAAAUCCUAGCUAGAUCGAUUUAUCGCCCCGGAAUCCCCUGUAUACUAAAUUUUAUGAAAAUCGUUGGAGCCGUUUCCGAGAUUCAGAUUAUCUUAAUAUAUAUAAAUCUCGUGUCACAAUGUUUGUCCUCAAUGGACUCCUAAACCACUUAACCGAUUAUAAUAAAAUUCGCACACCAUGUGCAGUUCGAUCCAACUUGAGAGAUAGGAUGGUUUAAAUCUCAAAUUAUAGUCGCAAUUUUAAUUUAUUGCUAAUUAUUUGUCUGUUAUUAUUUGACAGUCACAAUUAUCUGUUAACUCCAAAUGAUUCUAACAGAUGUCGAUACCUUUCGACUGGGUUGAGUAAGUAAUCAAUAGAUGGCGCUGCUAUGGUAAAUCUACGAACGUGUCAUAUAAGAUUCGAUCAAUAAUACUACUAGAUUCGCGAUUAGCGCUUCAAAAACGGCCCGAAAAAUAAGACCACAAAUAAAUUUGUGGUCUUAUUUCAAAUUAGUAUGGUCCAAUCAUAGCCAACACUAAGACGUCAAAACGCUGCAAUGCGUGUUCAAAAACUGAGUAAAAAACCACCGUAACACCAAGGUUUUGGAAGGAAUAUCUUUUUUUGAUUUCCUAGUAGCCCCUUGUCGCUGUGCACAAUGGAUAUAUAUUGUCGCGAAAGAAAGAGAAGAAAUAUAGAACCCUUAUAAAAAUUCUAGAAUUGUUCAAUGGUGGUGGCAAAUCAAUGCAAAAAAGUAUUAAAAAAACUUUAUAUGUAUGUGUAAAUAUUUUAAGCGUAUAUGCUGAAAAGGAUUUGUUUUCUGGGGGAAGCGAACACAGCCAUAAAAUAAGCCUAAAUUAAACUGAUUAUAAAAAAAUUCAUUGAUAUAAGAUUACAUUAUAUUUGUAAAAAAGAAACCGCUCAUAUAAAAAUGACUUCUAAAAGACAGCUUUAUAACAAACUGAAUCUGUUUAAAGGUAAUUAAACCUACAUUAUUGUUUUAAUUACUUCUGUAUAAAGAAUACGUGGAAAACAUGUUUCGUGUUUCCUUUCAUAUUUUUUUUACUUUAUUCAAUUUUAUUUUUUAUCACCUAUUUGUUGUAAUAGCGGCAAUGUAAAAUAUUAUCUACUACUUUUUUCAAUCGGUCAAAAAUAGUAGCGACCAUACAAAACAAACCUAAAACAAAUAUGUAUAUUCUGCAACUCUAUGUCUUUCAAUACUUACUGUGUUCUGAGCAUUGAAAUGUAAUACCAAGAACUACAUCUAGUUCCACAAUACAAUAAGCACGAAAUUUUAAACAAAUAUUUUUAACCUUAUAAAUUAGGCUUUAAGUAUCAUUUUAGAAUAAAUAUUUUUGUACUGAUGACUUUUUAUGUUCAAGUGACAUUUUAAAUUUAUUCCAUAAUAUUCUUUUUCUGACGAAAGGACCUAAAUACAUAUAUUUUGCAAUGGUAAUUAAACUUUAUGUUUAAGUAUUAAGGUUUAUAAUAAACUGAAGUCGUUAACAUUAUUAAACUUUUUUCUAAGAAAUGAAGAUGUUUUCGUGUCUGCAAACGUGGCCACUGGAGCGUCUUAUUUUUGUUCCUGAUCCUUAAUCUAGUACUAUUAUUGAUCGAAGCAUAUAAGCUACAUUUUAACAGCAUAAUUACCACGUGUUGUUGACGUUAUAAAAUUAAUUAAAUUUAUUUUGUAGUGAACGAAAUACCGUAUAAUUCAAUUAUUUCCACUUUUUAAAAUUUGGUGUUAGCAUAGCCGGCCACGUGUUACUUAGACUGAAGUGUAAAUUGCAUUCAUAUUAUAAUGAAGAUAAUACAGUGAAAUUAAUCCUGUUUUUUACUUAUUUGUGCUUCAUUGAUCAAAACUUUAUAAUUUAAUUUGAAUAUAUGUAUGUAAGUAUUAUCACAUACAUAAUUAUAAAAUUUAAUUAAAAUGUCAAUGCAAAAAUGAUACACAAUUUCCUACACUUUUUCAAUAGUUGUACAAAUAUUUUUUUAA